CCAAUAGCGUAUAUUAAAGUUGUUGCAGUUAAAAAGCUCGUAGUUGAAUUUCGGGGUUAGUAGGUUGGUCGUGCCACUGGUAUGUACUGGCUCUACUGAUCCCUCCUUCUUGUAGAACCGUAAUGCCAUUAACUUGGUGUUGCGGGGAAACAGGACUGUUACUUUGAAAAAAUUAGAGUGUUUAAAGCAGGCUAACGCUUGAAUACAUUAGCAUGGAAUAAUGAAAUAGGACGCUCGAUCCUAUUUUGUUGGUUUCUAGGAUUGACGUAAUGAUUAAUAGGGAUAGUUGGGGGCAUUAGUAUUCAAUUGUCAGAGGUGAAAUUCUUGGAUUUAUUGAAGACUAACUACUGCGAAAGCAUUUGCCAAGGAUGUUUUCAUUAAUCAAGAACGAAAGUUAGGGGAUCGAAGACGAUCAGAUACCGUCGUAGUCUUAACCAUAAACUAUACCGACUAGGGAUCGGAUGAUGUUAAUUUUUUAAUGACUCAUUCGGCGCCUUACG
rnacentral:rRNA from 1 species